rnacentral:tRNA from 1 species
GGGUGCGUCGUCCAAAGGACAGGGCCUCGCUCUUCUAAAGCGAAGAUCGCAGUUCGAAUCUGCGCGCGCCUACCA